rnacentral:rRNA from 1 species
AUGUGGGAACCAAAUGAGAAGCUGUCAGAUAUUGAUAAUUUUAUUCUCACUAGACCCUUUUCUGAAACUGAGAUAAAAAAUGCUCUCUUCUCUGUGACACCAAACAAAGUACCAGGUCUAGAUAACAUUCCUAUUGAGUUUUUCCAACAUUGUUGGGAGAUUGUCAAAGGUGAGGUGAUGCUUUUAUUUGAGUGGUUUCAUGAUAAUAAACUGGAUGUGCAACGCUUGAACUAUGGUAUUAUUACACUGCUUCAUAAAGUUGCUGGUGCGAAUAAAAUACAACAAUUUCGCCCGAUAUGUUUACUUCAUUACAUUUAUAAGUUGAUUACCAAAGUGCUUACUAUUAGUUUGGAACCUUUUGUUGAUAUCCUGUUCAGUAGACACCAGAAUGCUUUUACCAAAAAGCACGAUAUCAUGGAUGGGAUUAUGUCCCUACAUGAAAUCCUCCACCACACUUAUGUUAGAAGAAAAUCUGGAAGUGUUCUUAAACUAUACUUUGAGAAGGCAUAUGACAAAGUAAACUGGGAAUUAUUGCUAGAUUGCCACAAAAUGAGAGAGUUUCAUCUGCAAUGGAUUGAAUGGGUGAGAAAAAUCCUAGUAGGAGGCACGGUUAGUGUGAAACUUAAUGAUGAGAUUGGGCCCUACUUUCAAAGCUCGAAAGGGGUGCGUCAGGGGGAUCCAUUUUCCCCUUUCAUUUUUAAUCUUGCUGUGGACUACCUGACUAAAAGGGUACUUAAGGCUAAACAAAAUGGCUUGUUUAAGGGUUUAGCGGCUGACCUGAUUCCACAUGGGGUAGCCAUUUUACAGUAUGCAGAUGAUACAACUUUAUGCUUUGAAUAUAAUCCCAGAAAUGCUGUUAAUAUCAAGUUGCUCUUAUAUCUUUUUGUAAUCAUGUCUGGGCUGAAAAUCAAUUUCUUGAAAAGUGAGUUUUUUCGGUUCGUGCUGAUGAUGAUACUAGGCAAAUGUACGUCGAGAUGUUUAAUUGCCAAAUAG